GCGAUCAUACCGGCACUAAUGCACCGGAUCCCAUCAGAACUCAGAAGUUAAGCGGGCUUGGGCGAGAGCAGUACUAGGAUGGGUGACCCCCUGGGAAGUCCUCGUGUUGCACCU
rnacentral:rRNA from 1 species